rnacentral:lncRNA from 10 species
CUGCCAUGACCCGUACAUGCAUUUCAGGACUGAUUAAAAGGGCCAAGAUUCACAGUUUAAAAAUCCUGCCCUAAAAGCUUUCUGUUUGUUCUGUGACUUUACUUGCUGGCCACAUAGAUAGUGACAUCAUCCAAAUUUACAUCUCCACCAGAGUGACACACUUUACUUUUGCUCAUACUUCGUUGACCAAAGCAAGCCACAUGGCCAUUCUAACUUCAAACGGACCCACUCAACUUCUCCAAGUGGGUGUCUGAAAGGACACUUGAUUGUAUUACGUGAGUUUUCAGACACAUUCAGAGCGAGAGCUAUGCUUUGGAAGCCAGCUACAGAGUCCCUGGUAGUGAAACCCUAGAUGAUGAACUGAGACCAAGAAAAGACCCACUAAAGAUCAAAAAUUGCAGAGAACAAUAUUUCAAGAGGUACGUCUUGGACAUAAACACUGGAACCAUCAGAGAAGCUUCUACAAAACACAGAUGCCUGGGACCUGUACUUAUCAACUGUCACUUUUAAUUGGCCAGGGGUGAGCCUUAAACAAGACCAGUAUUUUGUAAAAACUGCCCGACGUGAUGGUAAUUUGCAGCUAGGAUUGGAACACUCUGGUAUUACACAACAGAUCCGGAGGCUGGAAGUCUGAGGUCCAGGUGUUGGCAGGGCUGGUUUCUUCUGAGGCCUCUCUCCUUGGUGUGUAGAUGGAUGUCUUCUUUCUGUGUCUUCGCAUAACUCUCCCACCACCCCAUUCUCCUCGUAAGGACACCAGCCAGCUGCUGAGACACCAGCUCUUCGGUAAUGCUACUUAGAAUGUCCCUUUAUUGACUGUAAACUAGUUCAACCAUUGUGGAAGUCAGUGUAGUGAUUCCUCAGAGAUCUGGAACUAGAAAUACCAUUUGACUCAGCCAUCCCAUUACUGGGUAUAUACCCAAAGGAUUAUAAAUCAUGCUGCUAUAAAGACACAUGCACACGUAUGUUUACAGCGGCACUAUUCACAAUUACAAAGACUUGGAACCAACCUAAAUGUCCAACAACAAUAGACUGGAUUAAGAAAAUGUGGCACAUAUACACCAUGGAAUACUAUGCAGCCAUAAAAAAUUAUGAGUUCAUGUCCUUUGUAGGGACAUGGAUGAAACUGGAAAGCUUCAUUCUCAGCAAACUAUCGCAAGGACAAAAAACCAAACACUGCAUGUUCUUACUCACAGGUGGGAAUUGAACAAUGAGAACACAUGGACACAGGAAGGGGAACAUCACACACCGGGGACUGUUGUGGGGUGGGGGGAGUGGGGAGGGAUAGCAUUAGGAGAUAUACCUAACACUAAAUGACGAGUUAAUGGGUGCAGCACACCAACAUGAUACAUGUAUACAUAUGUAACAAACCUGCACAUUGUGCACAUGUACCCUAAAACUUAAAGUAUAAUAAUAAUAAAAUUAAAAAAAAAGAAUGUCCCUUUAUUAACUACCUAAGGCAAACCUGCUGUGGGAGAAACCUCCAUAUUGAUCCUGCUUGCCCAAUUAAUUAACUUCCACUAAUUGUUCCAUCACAUCAUUUGUACUAACUACUUGUGUGUAUUUUGUCUUAAAGAGAGAUUUCCAAUCAGAUCUACAGUUUGCAGGUGUGACUGGCUUACAUUGUCUAUUGCUGGGUCCUCUUAGCAUGUAAUAAUAUUCCCACGAGGUGUCCCAACGCUUACCAACCCCAGGCCAGGUGCUUCCCAUGCUGUUAGG